rnacentral:SRP_RNA from 1 species
UAUGGCCCUGAUAACGGUCAUCCGAGAAUCCGCCAGGCCUUGACGGGAGCAACGGUAUCGGCAUGAACGGGUAUCAGGGCCGCUUUU